CCUAAAAAUUCAAAAAUAGCACCUUAGAAGAUGGAAAACUAUCCCAUAGGCGAUGGCGCUCUUCUCGGUGUUUGGAGAAAGACUUGAUCACAUGGAACAUCCUGAAAAAAAGGCCUAGUUCUCAAAUCUAAACUUAACUUUUACGUCUGAUUCCCGAGAAAAUAAAAACCAGAAAGUCGUAAUUUUGUGUGUUCUUAUGUUUGUUCACAGGGGGAGAAAAAGCUUCGAGAAAACAAUCUCUGGUUUUGGAAUCGAAGCUGGCUCAUUUUUCAUCCUUGUAACAAAAAUCCUUGUUUCUUGAUCAAAAGAUCGCGUUGCAAACCAUUUAUAAUCUCUGCUCUCGGAUCUGAAAUUGAAAACCUGGACGCCAAAUAUAAUUCCAGUUGUCGACAAUUGAAGGUUUUGAAAAGUGAGGUUGAGGAACCUGAAUAGGUGGAAAAGGAGAAGGAUAAGUUUUACAAAUUGAAAAGUUCAGAAAUCAAUGAGUGUAGGGAAAAUGUGGAGAUGUUUUUGAUGGAAUCUGGAAUUCAAGUGCAAGAAUUGAGGAGCUGUGAAAAAGAGGCAACAAUGGAUAUACGAGUAAUUCUGAGAUAGCUGAGGCAGAGAUGAAAACGGCUUAACUGUUGGCUAUGAAAGAUUGGGCUUCAAAUUACCAAAGAAGAGCAGAGUUGCAAAAGCAGGUUGAGAUUGCUCAAAAUCAAGAGAGAUGGAAACCAUUUCACUUUGGAAAAUACGAAGGUCUCAGGUAACCAAGACUGCAAACAUGAUAACAGGUUCCUGAAGCUUGUAUAGAAGCUGAGCAACGUUGUCGUUUGUCAAUCAAACUGUUACCAUAAUCACACUGGGUUUUGGACUUUCUUAUAAUAGAUUUGAGUUCUUUGUUUAAAUUCAAA